rnacentral:tRNA from 1 species
CGUGGCCAAGUGGCUAAGACACCAGGCUAAAAAACUGGGGGUUGCGGGUUCGAGCCCGGU